GGCUUGUGUCUAUGUCAGUGUUUAGAAAGUGAUAUACAUACAUGAAUGUAUAUGAUGCAAUAUAUGCCAUACAUACAUAUAUUUGUGUGAAGUCAUAAUAAGUUUCUGGAUGUCAAACAAAAUGGAAAUUGAGUUUUCUAAGAAGGUAAUGUUACUCAUCUUUGGUUCUUACCAUUGCUUCCUUUCUUCUCAAUGUUCAGGGAUUUCAAAUCCUGAGAAAAAUCAAUGAAUAAAUCAGGAAAAAGUUCCAUAAUUCUCUUGCAAGCAUGAAAGCUUAACAAUCAACAAGGAAAUGUCACUGGCUCAAAGAAUCCACUGAUGUCAAGUCAAAAAGCAAGUUGAACAUCCCUAGUUCCUUCAAAGCAUCUUCUAGGGCAUGGACUAAAGACCUGUCGCCAUCCUGGAUGCCCUCUGCUGGACAGUCUUUAGAUUCUCAAAGGGAUGCUAGGAUGUCUAGAGACAAUGGCAGAGAUGGAAGAACAUUUGCUUCCAGUGCUUCGCACAAUAUUGGGAACAUAAUAAGUCCUUAAUAAAUAUGUGUUUUGAGGAACAGGAAAUGAAACAAAGGGGAAAAUGAAGAAAGAAGGAAAAGAAAAAGAGUACAGUGAGAACUAAGCUACUCUGAGAAUGUGCUAAAAGCUAUUGCAUGCGAAGAUAUAAAUGAAAUUAAAAAACAUCAAUAGUCCUUUCCAGGAGGAAUGGAAAUAAUAUCUCUGUAAUUUCAUGGUAUAGAAUGUUUUGAUCUCACAUUUGGGGGAAGUGAUUAAAGUCAUCAAAAGAAGAAACAGUUACUU
rnacentral:lncRNA from 1 species